AUUGAACGCUGGCGGCAGGCUUAACACAUGCAAGUCGAGCGGAGAUGAGGUGCUUGCACCUUAUCUUAGCGGCGGACGGGUGAGUAAUGCUUAGGAAUCUGCCUAUUAGUGGGGGACAACAUUCCGAAAGGAAUGCUAAUACCGCAUACGUCCUAUGGGAGAAAGCAGGGGAUCUUCGGACCUUGCGCUAAUAGAUGAGCCUAAGUCGGAUUAGCUAGUUGGUGGGGUAAAGGCCUACCAAGGCGACGAUCUGUAGCGGGUCUGAGAGGAUGAUCCGCCACACUGGGACUGAGACACGGCCCAGACUCCUACGGGAGGCAGCAGUGGGGAAUAUUGGACAAUGGGGGAACCCUGAUCCAGCCAUGCCGCGUGUGUGAAGAAGGCCUUAUGGUUGUAAAGCACUUUAAGCGAGGAGGAGGCUACUGAGACUAAUACUCUUGGAUAGUGGACGUUACUCGCAGAAUAAGCACCGGCUAACUCUGUGCCAGCAGCCGCGGUAA
rnacentral:rRNA from 1 species